GUAUUGAUUGCGGGUUAGCGCAUAAAUGAGGUCAUUCUACACUUUUUAAAAGGGGUGUUUGUGUGAAAACGCGAGCCUCCUCCGAGAUGAUCCCAAAGGGUGCCCACGCGGUGAUGCACAAAAGGGGUGAGAUGGAUUGUGUGAGAGUGCUCGGGCGUGCACAACCUUUAAAAGGUCAGCGACAGCCCUUGCACCUCGGUUAUACAAUAAUGAUCCUUCCGCAGGUUCACCUACGGAAA
rnacentral:misc_RNA from 1 species